rnacentral:lncRNA from 1 species
GGAGAUCAAGACUCUCAGCUGGGGUCCUCAAUAACUACCUGGUGCCCGAGAAAGCUUGAACCCACAAGGGGUUGGCUACUCGGUGAAGGCCAGUCAGAGUGGACAGGGUGUAUCAACAAUGCACAGCCCUAGCAUGGCCAACGGGGGAUGCCCAAAAAGAAGCAAGAAUUCAUGCAAAAGGAGCCAGGGAAAAGCUUUUGGCCUGUAGAUCAUAUAAGAUACUCAAGAAAGGAAUGUACUCUCCAAGAAUGAGGAUCUUCUUCACAACCACAACACUAAGGUGAGAGGAAUGUUUGCUGGAAGCAAACUUCA